CACGGGGGGAGCAAGCGUUGUUCGGAAUCACUGGGCGUAAAGGGCGUGUAGGCGGUCAGGUAAGUGAGACGUGAAAUCCCUCGGCUUAACCGGGGAACUGCGUCUGAUACUGGAUGGCUUGAGAUUGGGAGAGGGAUGCGGAAUUCCAGGUGUAGCGGUGAAAUGCGUAGAUAUCUGGAGGAACACCGGUGGCGAAGGCGGCAUCCUGGACCAACACUGACGCUGAUGAGCGAAAGCCAGGGGAGCAAACGGG
rnacentral:rRNA from 1 species